rnacentral:rRNA from 1 species
GACGAACGCUGGCGGCGCGCUUAACACAUGCAAGUCGUGCGGUACCGAUGGCAAGUCUUCUUGACGAGCCUUCGGUAUAGCGGCGGACGGGUGAGUAACACGUGAGUAGCUGUCCUAGGGAGGGGGAUAACGCCUGGAAACGGGUGCUAAAAACCCCAUAAGCCUCGAAAGAGGUAAAAAGUGCAUCACUGCAGUCCUAGGGUGUGCUCGCGGCCUAUCAGCUAGUUGGUGAGGUAAGGGCUCACCAAGGCUAAGACGGGUAGCCGGCCUGAGAGGGUGUACGGCCACACUGGAAUUGAGAUACGGUCCAGACUCCUACGGGAGGCAGCAGUGGGGAAUCUUGGGCAAUGGGCGAAAGCCUGACCCAGCGACGCCGCGUUGGGGAUGAAGCCCUUCGGGGCGUAAACCCAUGUUGUAGGGGACGAAGAAAGUGACGGUACCCUACGAGAAAGCCCCGGCCAACUACGUG